GUCCCUGUAGCGCAAUGGAUAGCGCGUUGGAUAUCUAAUCGAAAGGUCGUGGGUUCAAAUCCCACCUAGGAUG
rnacentral:tRNA from 1 species